AUUGAACGCUGGCGGCAGGCCUAACACAUGCAAGUCGAGCGGAUGAAGGGAGCUUGCUCCUGGAUUCAGCGGCGGACGGGUGAGUAAUGCCUAGGAAUCUGCCUAGUAGUGGGGGAUAACGUCCGGAAACGGGCGCUAAUACCGCAUACGUCCUGAGGGAGAAAGUGGGGGAUCUUCGGACCUCACGCUAUCAGAUGAGCCUAGGUCGGAUUAGCUAGUUGGUGGGGUAAAGGCCUACCAAGGCGACGAUCCGUAACUGGUCUGAGAGGAUGAUCAGUCACACUGGAACUGAGACACGGUCCAGACUCCUACGGGAGGCAGCAGUGGGGAAUAUUGGACAAUGGGCGAAAGCCUGAUCCAGCCAUGCCGCGUGUGUGAAGAAGGUCUUCGGAUUGUAAAGCACUUUAAGUUGGGAGGAAGGGCGGUAAGUUAAUACCUUGCUGUUUUGACGUUACCAACAGAAUAAGCACCGGCUAACUUCGUG
rnacentral:rRNA from 1 species